AUGUUGAACGCAAAUGUGAUCCGUCACUGUGGGUGAUCCGUAACUGUGUGGGCAUGGUACCAAAAAUUAUUACACUUGACAGUUAAAGUUAGCCAUAACCCUAGACACAAAACGAACGUAUCAUUUUUCCCCUGAAGAAGACGCCAUACCAGCGUCGAAACGUCGGGUUAAAUAAUAAAACUCGUUUUUAAC